AUAUCAGUCAUGCAUAGCAUAUCAAUAAGCGGAGGAAAAGAAACUAACUAGGAUUCCCUUAGUAACGGCGAGUGAAGCGGGAAGAGCUCAAAUUUGAAAUCUUCAAGGUUCUACCUUGACGAAUUGUAGUUUAUAGAAGUGUUUUCUGUUAGUGGAGUGGCAAGAGUUCUUUGGAAUAGGACAUCAUAGAGGGUGAGAAUCCCGUAUUUGGUCAUUCCUCCUAGCGUUGUGAUACACUUUCAACGAGUCGGAUUGUUUGGGAAUGCAGUCCAAAAUGGGUGGUAAAUUUCAUCUAAAGCUAAAUAUUGGCGAGAGACCGAUAGCGAACAAGUACCGUGAGGGAAAGAUGAGAAGAACUUUGAAAAGAGAGUUAAACAGUACGUGAAAUUGUCAAAAGGGAAGCGUUUGACACCAGUGUUGUUUUCUCGAAAAUCAAUUAAAAAUGGCGGGAUUUUGUGUUGUAUUGACUUUAUCAGCUUUCUGCACUUUUUUCCUGUCUUUUUUAAUGCACUUUUCGUUUAACAAGUCAACAUCAAUUUCUUUUGUUGUAAAAGGGUCAUUGGAAGGUGGCUUUCUUUUCGGAGAAAGUGUUUAUAGCCUUUGGCCUCUGCAAUCGGAGAGAUUGAGGUCUGCAGCGUAGAUCCUUCGGGGUUAGAUGCAUUUGUGCUAAGUUAUAGCCUUUCAUAGACAACUUGUUGACUAUGAUCAGUCAUGUAGCUUACUCGCUUAUGUCAUUUUACCUACGCUUAGGAUGUUGAUGUGAUACUGCGAGCA
rnacentral:rRNA from 1 species